UUGCGCCUUUUCUUUUUUUCUAGCAGGGCGCGACGCAGAUUGAGGAUUCCCAGGUAUGUUUUCUGUUAAGACCUUUGUGUAUGUCUAAUGGUUCUUUUUUUUUUUCCUUUAGGUCGUGUGGCCUUUUUUUUUUUGCAGGGCGCGACGCAGAUUGAGGAUUUUCAGGUAUGUUUUCUGUUAAGACCUUUGUGUAUGUCUAAUGUCGCCUUUUCUUUUUUUUUCUGGCAGGGCGCGACGCAGAUUGAGGAUUCCCAGGUAUGUUUUCUGUUAAGACCUUUGUGUAUGUCUAAUGUUGUCUUUUCUUUUUUUCUAGCAGGGCGCGACGCAGAUUGAGGAUUCCCAGGUAUGUUUUCUGUUAAGACCUUUGUGUAUGUCUAAUGUUGUCUUUUCUUUUUUUUCUGGCAGGGCGCGACGCA
rnacentral:lncRNA from 1 species